GGCCUAAGGCGCCACAUGGGUCAUUUCUUCCAGACUCCGACUUGCUUCUGCUUUGCCAUAUGGUAACACAACCCUAUCACGGAAGCACCAUCAUUACCGCCAUUUGCAGGGGAAGCCCAAAGAGGUUGACUCAAGGCUCUCCUGUGGUUACCCUCAGAGCUGUCAUGGGUGAGCCCAGAGGAUGACAGAGCCAGUAGGGCUUCAGCCCAGGAGUCACCACCUCAGAGUGGACUUCCCACCACUCAUUCCAGUGCAGCCGCCAACUUGAGGCACUUUCUAAAUGAUGCCUCUGUUCUGUUUUUUGAAGAAAGUCUCCAACUUACCUUCCAGGGAAACUGACCAAACCAAGGAAUGCUGACCCUAAGUCCCUCCUGGAGCCAAGAUCAAUGAAUUCCUACAUGGAUCAGAUGACGUGGCCUCUUCUUUGAGCCUCUCUCCAAUGCUAGUCUUCUAGUUAUCACCAACUAGAGGUUUUUUAAUUUAUGUAUUACAUUGCUUGCUUGUUAUCUGGUGGCCUGCAAGGUAUAGGUGUAUCUUAGUCACUGAAGUAGACCCUGCCUGGCUCAUAGUAGGUCCUCAAUAAAUAUUGACUGAAUAGCUAAUGAGCGGAUGAUUGAGUGGACAUCCCCUCUCUGAGGCUGGGAUACCCGGACUUGACAGAUCCUGGUUCCCCAGUCUCAGUGGGUUCUGCCUCUUGUCGCCUCCUUUGCCAGCCACUUCCUCAAUGAUGGAGAGAGCCGAGGUUCCCCUGCUGGGUGCAUUUUCCCUGAAUUUGGGGAACCCAAGAUACUGUCAAGCCUACAGUGAGCUCUGAGCCCUUUCAGGAGAGCCAACCCUUGAUACAGCCCCCCAGGUACCCCUGUGAGUUUUUCUCCUAUAAAAAAGGAGAAAUCUGUAGCUGGGUGCGGUGGCUCAUGUCUGUAAUCCCAGCAUUUUGGGAGGCUGAGGUGAGUGGAUCAUUUAAGGCCAAGAGUUCAAGACCAGCCUAGCCAACAUGGCAAAACCCCAUCUCUACUAAAAAUACAAAAAUUAACCAGAUAUGGUGGCACAUGCCUGUAAUCCCAGCUACUCAGGAGGCUGAGGCACAAGAAUCGCUUGAACCCAGGAAGCACAGGUUGCAGUGAGCUGAGAUCGCACCACUGCAGCCACUACACUCCAGCCUGGGUGACAGAGCGAAACUCUGUCUCAGAAAAAGAGAGGAUCUUCCAUUGUAAACAUGACCAGACCUUACCCAUGAAAGAAGCUCCUUUUGAUGCCUUCUUAGAGCAGUGUGCUCAACUACCAAACAGAGCUGGGACUUCUGUCCUUCCGAAGCCACUCCUGUAGAGCAGAGACAGGCGCCUGUGUCUUCAUAAGCCCUUCUUUCUCUGUAGUCUGAUUUGAUUUUCCCCAAACCGGUGAGGAAACAAAGAUCUGGUGUGUCAUUUGACUUGUGCGAUGACUCCUAUCCGUGUCUGGUAUCAUCACUCGCAUCUCCGAACAUUUCACAGCAGUGACUGAUGCCCAGACCUCUGGCUACACGGGAGCCCUGACUGUCUGUUCUCUGUGCACCUGGUCAGCCUCUCUCCACUUGGACUGCAGCCUCCUGAGGAACUAAGCUUGCAGCACCUCCCAUCAAAUAGACCAAUGAGCCACCUUGUUUGGCUGAAAUAUAUGUUCAUUCUACAAUUUGGCCAUCAGGGGAAGGUAAGAAAGAAGAGAGGCAGAAAAACAGAUGAAAUGAAAGGGAAAAGACACACACCCAGGAGCAGAGAAAAGACAUAGGAAAAAGAAAAAAAAAACUAGUUUAAGGGAGAGGAGAAAAUGAAACAUAUACAGAAGCGAAAGAAGAUUACGGGAAGAAAUUCUCUAAGAUCUGCUGUCUAUAAGGGAGUGACGGACAUGAGGGGAGGAUUAUAUGGUGCUGUCCACUUGGCACAAAGGGUGCAAAGUCUUAACAUCCCCCUGCCACCUGCACCUCCCACUGUGCCAUGCUAUGAACUGCAAGAGGCUCCAUUCCAGCUCAAACAACCCUGUGAGCUCAAAAGUAGAAAACUUGUCCUCAGAUGCAACAACAGUUGUCAGAGCAAUGUUACCCUGAGUUGUGAAGAAACCCAGGUCUGCAUGGAAGAAACCUGGGCUGCCUCAGUCCCUGGCCAAAGGUUUGCCAAGCACCCUCAGAAGACCUGCAAUUGUCAGAGGAAGUGAACUUGGUCCCCCGUCCCCCAAAUCCCUGCCCGUUCUCAUUGCUCCAUAGUCCAGUGCAGUCCCCGACCCAGACCCAGGCCUCCCGAGAAGCCAGUGAGGUGAAGUCAUUCCAGGGAGCCUCAUCCCUGAUGGGUGGGCACAGGGCCUGUCUGACUUGCCCACUCACAUCACUCAGAAAUCUGAGGAGGUGGUGCUUGGGGGGCAGUAGAAUGAGGCUCCAAGAAGUCACUGUCAUUUCUGUGGGCCACGCCAGAGUUCAAGACCAGAUCUUCCUUCCCAUGGCCGAGGGAUCUCCAGAAGGUCCUCUUUGCCACCAAAAGCCUGCCCUUUUCUGCAUGUUUUGAAAGGAGUUUUCCUAAACACAGCCUCCUCCAUCAGGAAGUUUGAAUGUAUAAACAGUGACUCUUAUUCAGAAAAGCAGCGACGAGCAGUUUUAUAUAAAAGUUACAUCUCCAUUUAAGAAAGAAUAUAUAAUUCCACAUUCCA